CCUACGGGAGGCAGCAGUGGGGAAUAUUGGACAAUGGGCGCAAGCCUGAUCCAGCAAUGCCGCGUGAGUGAUGAAGGCCUUAGGGUCGUAAAGCUCUUUUACCAGGGAUGAUAAUGACAGUACCUGGAGAAUAAGCUCCGGCUAACUCCGUGCCAGCAGCCGCGGUAAUACGGAGGGAGCUAGCGUUGUUCGGAAUUACUGGGCGUAAAGCGUACGUAGGCGGUUAUUCAAGUCAGAGGUGAAAGCCCGGGGCUCAACCCCGGAACGGCCUUUGAAACUAGGUAGCUAGAAUCUUGGAGAGGUCAGUGGAAUUCCGAGUGUAGAGGUGAAAUUCGUAGAUAUUCGGAAGAACACCAGUGGCGAAGGCGACUGACUGGACAAGUAUUGACGCUGAGGUACGAAAGCGUGGGGAGCAAACAGGAUUAGAUACCCUGGUAGUCCACGCCGUAAACGAUGAUAACUAGCUGUUCGGGCACUUGGUGCUUGAGUGGCGCAGCUACGCAUUAAGUUAUCCGUCCGUCGGGUAGGUACGGUCGCGAAGAAUUAAACUAACAAUAGAAUUAGUACGGCGUGAGACGUGCCGAACGGCGACGACGAGGGAGUAGG
rnacentral:rRNA from 1 species